AGAGUUUGAUCAUGGCUCAGAUUGAACGCUGGCGGCAUGCUUUACACAUGCAAGUCGAACGGCAGCGCGGGGCAACCUGGCGGCGAGUGGCGAACGGGUGAGUAAUAUAUCGGAACGUACCCAGAAGUGGGGGAUAACGUAGCGAAAGUUACGCUAAUACCGCAUACGAUCUACGGAUGAAAGUGGGGGACCUUCGGGCCUCAUGCUUUUGGAGCGGCCGAUAUCUGAUUAGCUAGUAGGUAGGGUAAAGGCCUACCUAGGCGACGAUCAGUAGCUGGUCUGAGAGGACGACCAGUCACACUGGAACUGAGACACGGUCCAGACUCCUACGGGAGGCAGCAGUGGGGAAUUUUGGACAAUGGGCGCAAGCCUGAUCCAGCAAUGCCGCGUGAGUGAAGAAGGCCUUCGGGUUGUAAAGCUCUUUUACCCGGGAAGAUAAUGACUGUACCGGGAGAAUAAGCCCCGGCUAACUCCGUGCCAGCAGCCGCGGUAAUACGGAG
rnacentral:rRNA from 1 species